rnacentral:lncRNA from 1 species
GGGAAAGUACCGAGGCAGCAAGACCCGCCCCCAGCCCCGGAUGCCUCCCGGCAGACCCCCAGGCGUCCGAACCACCUGUCGCCGCCGAAGCGAGGUGGCUGCAGCGGUGCUCUGCGCAUGGCAUCCCGCCCAGCUCGCCCCAGUUGCCCCGGCCUCCCCUCCCCGGGCGGCGUCUAGAUUCGUGGGUCGCAAGGCAGGGUUCCCGGCCCCGCUCUGCGACUCCCCACCCCGCGGCCACGUUCUGAGAGCAGAUACAACGUUGCCGCGUUCAAAAUGUGAAUAUUCUCUGAGGUUCAUUUUCCUUUCUGCCAACAAAUGAGACCGACGGGUGUGACCUGUUCAGGCUGAAGCUCUGCUGAAUCACAGGCCUUCAUUCCACUUCCUGUUAACUCAGAUAAGCUGGGUGGAGAAAGUGACAGUCUAAAUUUGAGGACAAUGAAAUAAAGUCUUUAAAUUUCUUCUGGUCCCCUUAAUUGUAAGUAGGAAGUGCUUGGUUAUUAAGGUAGUGAGAGAACUGAAGUUGUAAGUGAAAAGGCGUCAGAGGAGGGAGUCAGAUUUCCUCGCUGUGUGAUCUAUGAAGAGUGGUGAGGGGCCAGGGAUUUAACUCAGUGGUUUCGCCGCCUGCUGCGCAAGCGCAAGGUCCAGAGUUGGAUCCCCGGUACCAAAAAAAAAAGAAAAAAAAAAAAGUGAUGGACAGCACUCGGUGGCAGCAAUCUGCCUGUGGUGGACUAUGUGGCAUUUUGACGUUCUACGUCCAGGUGUAGUCUCAAGAUUGAAAUGCAUGUGUUAAACAGAACUG